GAAUUACUGGGCGUAAAGCGCGCGUAGGUGGUUUGUUAAGUUGGAUGUGAAAUCCCCGGGCUCAACCUGGGAACUGCAUUCAAAACUGACUGACUAGAGUAUGGUAGAGGGUGGUGGAAUUUCCUGUGUAGCGGUGAAAUGCGUAGAUAUAGGAAGGAACACCAGUGGCGAAGGCGACCACCUGGACUAAUACUGACACUGAGGUGCGAAAGCGUGGGGAGCACACAGGAUUAGAUACCCUGGUAGUCCACGCCGUAAACGAUGUCAACUAGCCGUCGGAAGCCUUGAGCUUCUAGUGGCGCAGCUAACGCAUCAAGUAGACCGCCUGGGGAGCACGGCCG
rnacentral:rRNA from 1 species